GUUAACCCAAAAAAAAAAAAAAAAAAAAAAAGAAUAAAUCUGUGACAAAAAGACAGGGUAAAAACCGCCGGGGUUAAAGCAGGGCUCUCUAUGUGAAGGCUGCACCGUCCUCUCACAUUCCAGCGCGUCGCAAAAAAGGGGGAUUUAGAGCGACUUAUUUCCUUAAAACUGUCCUACCAUCCACAGAGCCAGCCACUCUGCUCCCAUCAGCUUGAUAUAGGCCCGCACCGACGUAAAAAAAAAACUACACAGAAUAUUUUACGGCGGAAUUCCCACCGAGAGAGACACCGAGCAGCAGCCGAGGACUUGUACAGGCACCGGACCUGCAGUGUGCAUAUACACUCAGGGAGGAGGAUAAAUGCAAGAAAAGAAAGAGGGGAAAAGACAGAUAUAGGCCUGGUGUGCAGCUGACGGCAAGGCGUUCAACUUUCACUUAUUUCAAUUGAAACGGUUUCCAGGAGGAAGAUGUGAAAGAAGAUAAAAGACUUCUAGAUAUGAAGAUUUGGGAUCAGAGGAAGCGGCUGUGUGGAUCAUAAACCUGGAUUUCUUUUAACAACCGACCUGAGAUCUGACAGAGCAAAAGUUUUGCAGCGAGUCUGUUUGGAGGAAAGGAGCUGCAACACAUUCAGGAGUUCGCCAACAAACAAACGGAUGCAAUUAAGCACACUCGCCUUCAGAUCAUCAAUGAGGAGGCAAAGUCAAGACUGGCAGAAAACCGACAAGGACAAAUACAAGGCGGGAGAAGACUCUGCUGCCUCAAGGUUAACUUGACUGAAUGAACUGUGUGAAGAGCUCGUCUCCACACAAUCUGGGUAGUUCUUGCUUCUUCUGCAAGGACACAUCACUAGCUGUUUUUCAUAGUAAAUGGGCUCAUUUUAGAACUUGAUUUAACUCUUAACUAAUGUUAUAUUUAAGUAUAAUUGCUGAAGAAUUAAACCAAGUGUAUUUAUUGUCACAGUUUUGUUUCUUUUCUUUCUCAGAAUUAAUUAAAGAUUAAUUUGCGAAUAAAGACAUCUAUGUUAAUAUCAUUGUCAAACCUCCCCUUUGCUCUUCUUCUCCCUCUCUCCCCUCACCUAGCCAUCAGUAGCCUUUUCCUCUGAGUGUUGAGGUGUCUGCAUGGAGUGGUAAAACCUGCCCUGCAGACCGGACCUCUCAAGUCUUCAAAGGAGGAAGAACUCAAUGUGGGGGAUUUGUUCAGGCUUAUUUGGUAACCUAGGAUUUGAAUUGGAUUCUGGGAGGCAUUCAUAACACAUUUGAAAAUGUUACAUUGUGUGAUUUUGUGUGUAAUCCCCAUAAUAAAUUUUAGAAAUGGUCACAGCACUUGCACAACUGUGACUAUUCAUGAUUUAUCAAAUGGUUUUCUUGUCUUGCCUCUUGGGGGUGAGGUGUGUGUUGCCGACAGGGAGCAGGACGAUCUCAGCCGUUGGUUGGGAGAGACAGUGGAGAGACGAUUCUACCAUUUUAACCUUUCUCUCAACACUG